rnacentral:sRNA from 1 species
CACACUCACAGAAGCGGGGUGGGUGGGGAGAUGGAAUAGCAGUUUUCUGGAUGGAAAACCUGGAAAGGGGAUAACAUUUAAAGUGUAAAUUUAAAAUCUAAUAAAAAUUUUAAAGUAAAAAAAGAAAGUCGGGAGUUGAUACUUUUGAGGAUCAGAGGGCCUGAGCUAAGCCGAGCUGUUGAAAUUGUGGAAGAAUGAAGGCAGAGGGCCCAGAACCCACACAACAACUCACAAGUGUAACUCCAGUUCCAGGGGAACUGAUGGCCUCUUUUGGCCUUUACAGUCACCAGGCAUGCACAUGGUGCUUGUAUAUAAGUGCAGACAAAUACAUAUACAUGCAGAGUCAUACACAUAAAAAUCUUAAACAAUUGAAAGAUGCAAAGCAGGGCGGUGGUAGCACAGGCCCUUUAAUCCCAGCCAUCCUCCCCCGCCCAUCCUUGCCAGCAUGCAGAACUGAACACCUGUCUACUUAGCUGAGGGACGGUUAAGAGGUGCUGAGCUGGCUGCAUCCCAGGCAGUCCUCUAUGAAACUAGACUCGGGCUCCAGCUUCCCUUUUCCUCAGAUUGUCGUCCUUAUCUUAGUUAAUCUGGACCAUCCUAGGCAGGUUUUGCCUUCACUUUCUGUCCUUAACGUUGACUUGGUUGUCACACAACAGUGAUGUUUUCACAUACCUGUACCAGAUCCCUGUGACGGUUUAACACAUUCUUGAUGUUACAUCAGACACUAUAAUUAUAUACAUCAUAGCUUCCAUCAUGUGGCUUGCAUGUAGUAGCCAAUCCUCGAGCUCCAAACUCCUCCCGAAUGCUGGUGUCCCAUACACUGAACUUGGCCAGCUGUUGUUGAGGCCCAAGAGUGACCAUAUACUUGUCUUUCUGCCCAACCAGGACUUCACCAUCCCCCUGGGCUGUCAGCCAACACGAGAACCAGUGGCUUCACCUGUUGCUGCUAAGUUAGUGGAAGAAAAGUGCUGGGAUGUGUGGGACAGUGGGGGACACAGCAGCAGCCUAGCUCCAGAUAGGGUUGGAGGCUAGUGCUGCGCUUGCCCACCAGGGUGGGCUUGUACUGGACCUGCACCUUUCAGUGUGGGUGAGACUCCACAAAGGCUGAGGAGGACGAGAGAGUGCAGUAUGGAUGGCUAGUGGGGGCUACCUCUCCACUCCCAUUCAGAGUCGUGGACACAGGAUAGGUUUUACACUUUAGAUCUCUUGUCUCUUUUGGUGAUGCUUUUUAGUCCUCAGGGCAUAAAACUUAUACUCUUUUGAUUAUGUUUGUGGUAAUAACAAUGGAACCGAGAGCUUCGGACAUACUAAGGAAGCCCCAGUGUUUACCAAAUCAACUAUUCUGUUCUUUUAACAUUGCUAUCGUGGAAUUAUUUUUCAUUAUUUCACUCAUAUUGAUCAUGUACAUGACUGCUUGGUGCUCUUGCAACACAGGGAAAAACAUCACUGUCUUUACUGAACUGAUUCAAAUCAAGAAAAAGCCUUGCAUUGCAUGUGGACUCAUCCAGGGAAUUACUGGAUUUGUUGAGGAAUGGCACAUUCCUUUGGGAAGGAAGGCUUCAAAGAGCACCCUCCACGUUCUGCCCUCUCUGGUGGCUGUAAAGGGCUGACCUUGAAGUGCACUGCCCCGACUAUGGCAUCUGCUGCUGCUGCUUGGCCUGCAAAGGACUAUGAGAUUCCCCGACUUGGAACCACUGGCAAAUUGGAAGACAGUCACAGUGGAGUUUUGGCAGGGUCAGAGACUGGGCUGCUUCUGCAGGCAGGACGGCAAUGACAGUCUGUGCUAAGGCCAUGGCAGAGUCACCUGCCACCCUUACCUGCUGUGUCUGGGUAGCAUGUGAGGGAAGCCUCCCUGCCUUUGGUUUUGAUCAUCCAGGUGUAGGUUCUCAGGCUCUCAGACAUCCACAUGUGGACCUGAAGAAAGAGCUGGUGUCUGGGAGCCAGAUUCCUGCUGCAUCUGGAGAAACUGAAUUAUGUGCCUAGCAUGGUCUCUUUGUAUUUCUCUUCAGUAGUUUCUUGACCCAAUAUCUCUGUGUUUGCUCUAUACAAUGAAUACAAAGUAAAUAAGAAUAGAAAAAUAA